UCAUACAUGAAAAAGUAAAUUUUAGCAUAAUUUUUAUUUAUUAAAGCAGAUUAAUUUCAAAACUUGUUAAAUAAAUUUUAAAUGGCAGCAUUAGGUUUUGAAGCAUCGGCUGCUAUGGUGACUGUGUGACUCUUCUCGACUAUAUGAGAUUAAGGGAGAAUACUGUCUCAUAUGGAUGUCACAUAGUAGCUUCUCCGUAGCGUUUUAGUCGUUGACUUGAAGAUUGGCCCCGU
rnacentral:lncRNA from 1 species